rnacentral:rRNA from 1 species
AUACGUAGGUGGCAAGCGUUGUCCGGAAUUACUGGGUGUAAAGGGCGUGUAGGCGGGAGAGCAAGUCAGAUGUGAAAGCCCAUGGCUUAACUGUGGAAUUGCAUCUGAAACUGUUUUUCUUGAGUACUGGAGAGGAACGUGGAAUUCCUAGUGUAGCGGUGAAAUGCGUAGAGAUUAGGAGGAACACCAGUGGCGAAGGCGGCUUUCUGGACAGUAACUGACGCUGAGGCGCGAAAGCGUGGGGAGCAAACAGGAUUAGAUACCCUGGUAGUCCACGCUGUAAACGAUGGAUACUAGGUGUGGGAGGUACCGACCCCUUCCGUGCCGGAGUUAACACAAUAAGUAUCCCACCUGGGGAGUACGGCCGCAAGGCUGAA